AGUGAACGCUGGCGGUAGGCCUAACACAUGCAAGUCGAACGGCAGCACAGUAAGAGCUUGCUCUUACGGGUGGCGAGUGGCGGACGGGUGAGGAAUACAUCGGAAUCUACUUUUUCGUGGGGGAGAACGUAGGGAAACUUACGCUAAUACCGCAUACGACCUACGGGUGAAAGCAGGGGAUCUUCGGACCUUGCGCGAGUGAAUGAGCCGAUGUCGGAUUAGCUAGUUGGCGGGGUAAAGGCCCACCAAGGCGACGAUCCGUAGCUGGUCUGAGAGGAUGAUCAGCCACACUGGAACUGAGACACGGUCCAGACUCCUACGGGAGGCAGCAGUGGGGAAUAUUGGACAAUGGGCGCAAGCCUGAUCCAGCCAUACCGCGUGGGUGAAGAAGGCCUUCGGGUUGUAAAGCCCUUUUGUUGGGAAAGAAAAGCAGCAGGUUAAUACCCCGCUGUUCUGACGGUACCCAAAGAAUAAGCACCGGCUAACUUCGUG
rnacentral:rRNA from 1 species